rnacentral:rRNA from 1 species
UACGAAGGGUGCAAGCGUUACUCGGAAUUACUGGGCGUAAAGCGUGCGCAGGCGGUUUUGUAAGACCGAUGUGAAAUCCCCGGGCUUAACCUGGGAACUGCAUUGGUGACUGCAAGGCUUGAGUGUGUCAGAGGGAGGUGGAAUUCCGCGUGUAGCAGUGAAAUGCGUAGAUAUGCGGAGGAACACCGAUGGCGAAGGCGGCUUCCUGGUCCAGCACCGACGUUCAGGCACGAAAGCGUGGGGAGCAAACAGG